GUGGGGAAUCUUGCGCAAUGGGCGAAAGCCUGACGCAGCCAUGCCGCGUGAAUGAUGAAGGUCUUAGGAUUGUAAAAUUCUUUCACCGGGGACGAUAAUGACGGUACCCGGAGAAGAAGCCCCGGCUAACUUCGUGCCAGCAGCCGCGGUAAUACGAAGGGGGCUAGCGUUGCUCGGAAUUACUGGGCGUAAAGGGCGCGUAGGCGGACAGUUUAGUCAGAGGUGAAAGCCCAGGGCUCAACCUUGGAAUUGCCUUUGAUACUGGCUGUAUUGAGUACGGGAGAGGUGAGUGGAACUCCGAGUGUAGAGGUGAAAUUCGUAGAUAUUCGGAAGAACACCAGUGGCGAAGGCGACUCACUGGCCCGUUACUGACGCUGAGGCGCGAAAGCGUGGGGAGCAAACAGGAUUAGAAACCCCUGUAGUCC
rnacentral:rRNA from 1 species